rnacentral:misc_RNA from 1 species
AAGGUAGCCGUACCGGAAGGUGCGGCUGGAUCACCUCCUUUCUAAGGAGCACCACGAGAAACACUCCAAUUGGUGGGGUGUGAGCCGUGAGGGGUUCUCGUCUGUAGUGGACGAGGGCCGGGUGCACAACAACAGGCAAUCGCCAGACACACUAUUGGGCCCUGAGACAACACUCGGCCGACUUCGGUUGAAGUGGUGUCCCUCCAUCUUGGUGGUGGGGUGUGGUGUUUGAGUAUUGGAUAGUGGUUGCGAGCAUCUAAAUGAACGCGUCGCCGGCAACGGUUACGUGUUCGUUUUGUGUAAUUUUUUCUUUUGGUUUUUGUGUUCGUAAGUGUUUAAGGGCACAUGGUGGAUGCCUUGGCAUCGAGA